GUCGAGAAUCUUUCACAAUGGGGGCAACCCUGAUGGAGCGACGCCGCGUGGAGGAUAAGGUCUUCGGAUUGUAAACUCCUGUCAUGCGUGAACAAGGUUGCUUGGUUAAUACCUGGGCAAAUUGAUGGUAACGCAAGAGGAAGAGACGGCUAACUCUGUGCCAGCAGCCGCGGUAAUACAGAGGUCUCAAGCGUUGUUCGGAAUCACUGGGCGUAAAGUGUGCGUAGGUGGCGUGGUAAGUCAGAUGUGAAAGCCCGGGGCUCAACCUCGGAACUGCAUCCGAUACUGCCAUGCUAGAGUACUGGAGAGGUGACUAGAAUUCUCGGUGUAGCAGUGAAAUGCGUAGAUAUCGAGAUGAAGACCAAAGGCGUAGGCAGGUCACUGGACAGUUACUGACACUGAGGCACGAAGGCCAGGGGAGCGAACGGGAUUAGAUACCCCGGUAGUCC
rnacentral:rRNA from 1 species